GAACGCUGGCGGCAUGCCUUACACAUGCAAGUCGAACGGCAGCAUGGAGGAGCUUGCUCCUCUGAUGGCGAGUGGCGAACGGGUUAGUAAAGCAUCGGAACGUGCCGUGUAGUGGGGGAUAACGUAGCGAAAGUUACGCUAAUACCGCAUACGCACCGAGGUGGAAAGCAGGGGAUCGCAAGACCUUGCGCUAUACGAGCGGCCGAUGUCAGAUUAGCUAGUUGUUGCCUAAAGGCCUACGAAGACACGAUCUGUAGCGGGUUGAGAGGAUAUCCGCCACACUUGCCUGAGACACGGGACGGACUCCUACGG
rnacentral:rRNA from 1 species